rnacentral:rRNA from 1 species
UAGGGAAUCUUCGGCAAUGGACGAAAGUCUGACCGAGCAACGCCGCGUGAGUGAAGAAGGUUUUCGGAUCGUAAAACUCUGUUGUUAGAGAAGAACAAGGACGUUAGUAACUGAACGUCCCCUGACGGUAUCUAACCAGAAAGCCACGGCUAACUACGUGCCAGCAGCCGCGGUAAUACGUAGGUGGCAAGCGUUGUCCGGAUUUAUUGGGCGUAAAGCGGGCGCAGGCGGUUUCUUAAGUCUGAUGUGAAAGCCCCCGGCUCAACCGGGGAGGGUCAUUGGAAACUGGGAGACUUGAGUGCAGAAGAGGAGGGUGGAAUUCCAUGUGUAGCGGUGAAAUGCGUAGAUAUAUGGAGGAACACCAGUGGCGAAGGCGGCUCUCUGGUCUGUAACUGACGCUGAGGCUCGAAAGCGUGGGGAGCAAACAGG